rnacentral:sRNA from 1 species
GACCUCACGACCUGUGUCAGCAGAGCUGCCCUGCACCGCCAUGUGCAUCAUCUUCUUUAAGUUUGAUCCUCGCCCUGUUUCCAAAAACACGUACAGGCUCAUCUUGGCAGCCAACAGGGACGAAUUCUAUAGCCGACCCUCCAAGUUAGCUGACUUCUGGGGGAACAACAACGAGAUCCUCAGUGGGCUGGACAUGGAGGAAGGCAAGGAAGGAGGCACAUGGCUGGGCAUCAGCACACGUGGCAAGCUGGCAGCGCUCACCAACUACCUGCAGCCGCAGCUGGACUGGCAGGCCCGAGGGCGAGCACAGCAAAGGGAGACGUCAUUUGCUACUAUGGGAACCGAGGGGAGCCUGAUCCCAUCGUUUUGACGCCAGGCACCUACGGGCUGAGCAAUGCGCUGCUGGAGACGCCCUGGAGGAAGCUGUGCUUUGGGAAGCAGCUCUUCCUGGAGGCUGUGGAACGGAGCCAGGCGCUGCCCAAGGAUAUGCUCAUCGCCAGCCUCCUGGAUGUGCUCAACAAUGAAGAGGCGUGAGUGGGCGGGUCCUGCUGGGGUGAGCCCCAGUGUCCUGCCACCAGGGCAGAGGGAAAGGCAGGCCCUGCUGCCCCGGGAGGCCCAUGGAGGUGGCCAGGCUGGUUCCCCAGCUGCA